rnacentral:rRNA from 1 species
UACGGAGGGUGCGAGCGUUAUCCGGAAUUACUGGGCGUAAAGCGUGCGCAGGCGGUUUUGUAAGCCAGAUGUGAAAUCCCCGGGCUUAACCUGGGAAUGGCAUUUGGGACUGCAAGGCUGGAGUGUGGCAGAGGAGACUGGAAUUCCUGGUGUAGCGGUGGAAUGCGCAGAUAUCAGGAGGAACACCGGUGGCGAAGGCGGGUCUCUGGGCAGUAACUGACGCUGAGAAGCGAAAGCGUGGGGAGCGAACAGG